UACGUAGGGGGCAAGCGUUGUCCGGAUUUAUUGGGCGUAAAGAGCGUGUAGGCGGCCAGACAGGUCCGUUGUGAAAACUCGAGGCUCAACCUCGAGAUGUCGAUGGAAACCGUCUGGCUAGAGUCCGGAAGAGGAGUGUGGAAUUCCUGGUGUAGCGGUGAAAUGCGCAGAUAUCGGGAGGAACACCAGUGGCGAAGGCGGUUACCUGGAGCUUUGCUGACGCUGAUGCGCGAAAGCGUGGGGAGCGAUCCGG
rnacentral:rRNA from 1 species